rnacentral:rRNA from 1 species
CCUACGGGUGGCAGCAGUGGGGAAUAUUGGACAAUGGGCGAAAGCCUGAUCCAGCCAUGCCGCGUGAGUGAUGAAGGCCUUAGGGUUGUAAAGCUCUUUCGCACGCGACGAUAAUGACGGUAGCGUGACAAGAAGCCCCGGCUAACUUCGUGCCAGCAGCCGCGGUAAUACGAAGGGGGCUAGCGUUGUUCGGAAUCACUGGGCGUAAAGCGCAUGCAGGCGGAUCGUUAAGUCGGGGGUGAAAUCCCGAGGCUCAACCUCGGAACUGCCUUCGAUACUGGCGAUCUUGAGUCCGGGAGAGGUGAGUGGAACUGCGAGUGUAGAGGUGAAAUUCGUAGAUAUUCGCAAGAACACCAGUGGCGAAGGCGGCUCACUGGCCCGGUACUGACGCUCAGGUGCGAAAGCGUGGGGAGCAAACAGGAUUAGAUACCCUAGUAGUC